rnacentral:tRNA from 1 species
AGGGUUAUAGUUAAAUUUAACACUUAAUUUGCAUUUAAGAGAUACUAAACUAUAGUUAACCUUG